UAAAAGUCGUAACAAGGUCUCCGUAGAGCAGUGAUCUCUCUGCAGCGAACUUAAGGAAGCCUUUGCACCCCUAACGGGGGCUCUCGCGACUCUAAAUAAGGAGGCAUGCAAGUGACAAAGCCCAACGGCUGAGUUGCAACACAAUCGAAUUGCGGGGAAGUCCUAAAGCCUCAGGGUACUAACCUGCUGUAGGAAUGCAGCAGGGGCCUGUGUUAAUCGCACAGGGUAUAGUAACAACCCCGGAGGAUCUAGCCAGGUGUGCUAGAAUGGACGAUCCGCAGCGAAGCCCCUAGACCAGGGGAACGUUCACAGACUAAGUGGUUGUGGGUAGGAGGGACUCCUGCUUAAGAUAUAGUCGGGCCGGCGCGGAAACGCGCUGGGGAUUCGCAAGAACGUAAACCGCUCCGUAGGUGAACCUGCGGAGGGAUC
rnacentral:rRNA from 1 species